rnacentral:rRNA from 1 species
GACGAACGCUGGCGGCGUGCUUAACACAUGCAAGUCGAACGGAGUGGCGAACAGGUGAGUAACACGUGGGUGACCUGACCUGCACUUCGGGAUAAGCCUGGGAAACUGGGUCUAAUACCGGAUAGUGUGGGAUGGGCCCGCGGCCUAUCAGGUUGUUGGUGGGGUAAUGGCCUACCAAGGCGGCGACGGGUCGCCGGCCUGAGAGGGUGGAAGGCCACAUUGGGAAUGAGACACGGCCCAGACUCCUACGGGAGGCAGCAGUGGGGGAUAUUGCAAAAUGGGCGAAAGCCUGAUGCAGCGACGCCGCGUGGGGGAUGAAGGCUUUCGGGUUGUAAACCUCUUUCGCUAUCGAAAGGGUAGGUGGAGAAGAAGCGCCGGCUAACUACGUGCCAGCAGCCGCGGUAAUUC